CCCAAAGGGGUAUUGCCUCAGUAGCGGCGAGUGAGCGGCAAAAGCUCAAAUUUGAAAUCUGGCGUCUUUGGCGUCCGAGUUGUAAUUUGAAGAAGGUAUCUUUGGGCCCGGCUCUUGUCUAUGUUCCUUGGAACAGGACGUCACAGAGGGUGAGAAUCCCGUGCGAUGAGAUGACCCGGGUCUGUGUAAAGUUCCUUCGACGAGUCGAGUUGUUUGGGAAUGCAGCUCUAAGUGGGUGGUAAAUUCCAUCUAAAGCUAAAUAUUGGCGAGAGACCGAUAGCGAACAAGUACAGUGAUGGAAAGAUGAAAAGAACUUUGAAAAGAGAGUGAAAAAGUACGUGAAAUUGUUGAAAGGGAAGGGCUUGAGAUCAGACUUGGUAUUUUGCAUGUUGCUCUCUCGGGGGCGGCCGCUGCGGUUUACCGGGCCAGCAUCGGUUUGGAGCGGCAGGAUAAUGGCGGAGGAAUGUGGCACGGCUUCUGCUGUGUGUUAUAGCCUCUGACGAUACUGCCAGCCUAGACCGAGGACUGCGGUUUUUACCUAGGAUGUUGGCAUAAUGAUCUUAAGUCGCCCGUCUUGAACACCCGGACCA
rnacentral:rRNA from 1 species